UCAGUCCCUGAGUAGAGGGAGUUGGAGGCUGGCAAACCCGAAGGGGGGGAAAGCCAGAUAUGUAGGAAGAAUCCUAGGGAAAUAGGAGCAAGAGGUAGGACCUACAGGGACUGUGACUGCUUGUUAGUGUCCCUGGGAUGGCACCCAGUGUAGAGGGAGGCCUGGAUUCCUCUGCUACCCCUAGAAGAGUGGAAAGGGUGUUGGAGGCGCUAGCCAGGAAGUCUGGAAAGACUGUGAAUUCCCUGGAAGGGGAGGAUUGUAAUUACCUGGCUGGAGGGCUCAGCCACAGAGAGGCACGGCAGACCUGGAAGUGAGUGGGUCAGUAGAGUGAGACAAGAUGGAAGAAGACCACACCAGAGGGAAGGUCUUCAGGCUGGCAGAACUAAUCCCCAGGAUGGUGGAUAGGAGGUGUUGCUUGUGGGAGGAAGGGUGCGAGAAUACGCUAUAUGGGCAACAAUUCAGAGCAGUAGAAAAUAUUCUUAGGGACAGAAGAGGAAAGGGAAGGACUGACUCACAGAGAGCAAGGCAGUUUUUUCAAGGUAAUGCCUGUCUAUGAAAUCUGUGGUUCAGCUUUGAUGCAAUCAACAGAAAUGGACUUUUCCACCUGCAAUGGUCACCUUCACACUAAUUAAACACUUGGGUGUUGCCUAAUACACCUUUACAUGGACAAAAUGUGUCUCCACUCCAUGAAAUCAGCAUUUCAAAGAAGCAGAAAUAGGACGCAUGCAGGAGAGAAAGGGUUAAAGAUUCACAAUGGACUCAUCAUCUUUAUCAUGUGCAGGGAUUUUCACCUAUUUUAAGGAAUAUACUGUUUUCAGAUAAAGGGCCAAAUCCAGAGUAGUUACUGCAAAAAUAUUGUUACAAUACUAAAAAUAAUCUCUGUUUUUAAUACAUUUGUAAAAACGAUGUUAAAUUUAAGUCCAGAUUCUGUAAACACCAUCAUGGCUAGCCUCUCUGGUACUACUCAAGGUACUAUAUCUAGUAGGAAUUGUUUGCAGCAUGUUCUUUACGUCUUAAACCUAUAUGGAGUUUUGAGACUGACUUGCCUAACAGUACUGCCCCUUCUGGUAUUAAUGAAACCUGUAAUCAUUCUGGGCCAAAUUCUGUUCUUGCUUCUCAUGCAAGUAGUAUGGUAAUUAUUUGUACUUUCCGUAAUGUCCAAUAUUCCCCAAGCAGAGUGUGCACUAUACAAACACAUGGAAAAACAUCAUCCCUGCACAAUUCUACUCUAGAAUGAGAUGCCAAAACUUAAGAUUACAAACAACAUAAAGGAAGUGGAAUUGUGCUGCUAAAGGGGUGAACGCUUUGAAUAAUACUAGGAUCUGGGGUGGCUACUUAGGAGAGUUAGUACGUAGCCUGAUGGUAGUGACUGAUUUUAAAUGAUGAUAUUAAUAUAUUAAAAAUCAAUAUAUAUCUUGAUAGUGACAAUCUCACUAGCCCUCCAGCCAUGCAAUGGGGUUACUGAAAUGGGUAAUGAGAAAUAUUUGGUCCACUGUGAUGUUUUGUAUGUUUUUGACCAGUUACUUAUGGGGGCAUUAGUAAAUCACUGCCUCAGAUAAAUCUGAAUGAAAGUGUUAAUGAAGACAACUUAAUUACAAAAGAUCCUUAAUCUAUAGUUUUGGCCAGGAACUUCACUGUAAUGUAGCACAUUCUUUUCAGAUCUUUCCCUGGCAUUAAGCUAUUUGAUAGUUCUACUUCCUUUUUUAUGAAGUGGGAGGGGGCGCUAAAUUGAAUACAUGUCAAUCUGGUUAUGUUAGCUGGAGUAUGAGUACAUUCAGAGAUUUCAGACUUCUUAACAGGUUCACUUUAAUAAGCUUUUCCUUCUUAGAUCCCAGAGUUCUUUGUAAAGCUGAGUAAGCAUUAUCUCCAUUUACAUUUGGGGUGACCUGAAGGAUGUGAUGAGGAAAUCACUUACUCAAAGUCAUACAGCAAGUCACUGGCAAUGCUGGGAUUAGAAUCCAAGUCUCUUGUGUUCUUGUGCCUACUGGCAACAUACUGUCUUUCUUACAUAUGAGACAAAAAUAUAAAAUGAGGGAACAAUGCAGGAAGCUUACAAGGCUGUGGGAAUCCCUGAUUUAACAUAACGGUUUCUAGAACAUCCAUGUCAUGAUCUUACAUUUCAGCUAUUAAUAAUUUACAAUAAAAUAUAUUAGCAUCCACAUUAGAUUCUGUGCAGCUGUACAAAGGAAUUUGAGUGGGGAAGAAAAAUGAAAGAGAAUGCAAGGAGUCUAUUUCCUUGCAUGCCUAUGCAGAGCCAAGGCACAGCUGCACUUCUUGCACUCAAAGUGCAAGAACCGUGCAAAGCUACUGUUGCUGGUAACUUAUUAUGGGCAGGCAUGACCUGUGCUAUGGCCUCCCCUGAAUAUCAGCAGCCUGAGCACAAGGUGGUGGACACUGCAUCCUCUAAAAGGUGGUAUAGUAACUGCAUCUCCUGUAUUUCCUGGAGCUCUGGAACAAGGUUUGAAAUAACUGCAGUCUUUUACAUCAUGCUGUAUGAUGUCUAUUUGUGUGGGUUGUUGUGGAAGGUGGUUAAUGGGGCUUAGAUGUGUGUGAGGGAAAGGCAUUUUGUUGAGGCUGAGUUCUGCUGGAGAUAGAUUGCUAUUUAAUUGAAUUUUUGUUCCUAUGAUGUGUGGCAAGGGUGUCCUUUUAGUAUAAUGUGAAUCAAAAUAAUAAACAAAUCCGUCUGUAAAA